GACGAACCGAGCGAACGUUAUUCGGAAUCACUGGGCUUAAAGGGCGCGUAGGCGGGCGGCCAAGUCAGGGGUGAAAGCCCCCAGCUCAACUGGGGAAGUGCCUUUGAUACUGGUCAUCUCGAGGGAGAUAGGGGCGUGCGGAACUUCCGGUGGAGCGGUGAAAUGCGUAGAUAUCGGAAGGAACACCGGUGGCGAAAGCGGCGCGCUGGACCUCUUCUGACGCUGAGGCGCGAAAGCCAGGGGAGCAAAGCGGG
rnacentral:rRNA from 1 species